GCCAAGGGACCCAGCCAAGGAGGGGGCGGCCGGCGGGAGGGUCCGGGAACGCGCGGCCUUGCCCUGUCGCCGUCCGGGCCCAGCUGAGGAAAACGCUGGACAGGCCGACUUGGGAGUCCCUUGGGAAGGCGCCUUCCUCCACCCCGCUAAGCCUUUAAUCAAGCUGUUUCCUCUGCUGGAAUGCCCUUCCCGCACCAUUCUAGUGAAACGGAAUGCUGCUGCUACCCAUCCUCUACUUGAUUCAGACGUUGGCCCUGUGGAAAUCCCUCCCACCCCACUCUAUAGAUCCACAGACCUAGAAAAUGAGUAAGCCUGAAGAGGAAGAGGACCCUGUUAACAGGCCUCUACAGACCGUUUUCACCUUGGAUAGAGGUUCUUCACUUUAGGUCUGGUCUCCAGGAUCUCUGGCCAUGGCUCCCUGUGCUCUGGGGUUCACAA